rnacentral:lncRNA from 1 species
CAAAGACCCCUGAGGACAGAGAACUUCAAAAGGACCUCUGAAUUUUGACCCUCAGGCCUCACCUUGGCACUAAGGCAGAGAGUGACAGGCCCUGAGGGGAGGGCCAGCGAUCAGACAGCUUUGUCUAGGACAUGGGAUUGGAGAAAAGUCAUGAUAUGUACCAAGAGCCUGUGAAGCAUCUUACAAGGUGGCUGCAAUUUUGGCUCAGGGAAACUAGAUGUGGCCAGACUUGCACAUAAAUGACAAUGGAUGCUUCUCCCAAAGUUUCCAAAAAUCUGGAUGAACUAACCCAGAAGGAUCCUGUCUGAAUAAAGAACACUGCUCCAAGUGACCAGGAGGCCUCGAUCUCUUUCUGCACUUAUGGAGAGGGAAGG